rnacentral:rRNA from 1 species
ACGAGUGGCGGACGGGUGAGUAACGCGUAGGAAUCUACCCAGAAGUGGGGGACAACGUGGGGAAACCCACGCUAAUACCGCAUAAGCCCCACGGGGUAAAGCAGGGGAUCUUCGGACCUUGCGCUUUUGGAUGAGCCUGCGUUGGAUUAGCUAGUUGGAGAGGUAAUGGCUCCCCAAGGCAACGAUCCAUAGCUGUUCUGAGAGGAAGAUCAGCCACACUGGGACUGAGACACGGCCCAG